rnacentral:rRNA from 1 species
GUGAGGAAUAUUGGUCAAUGGGCGCAAGCCUGAACCAGCCAUGCCGCGUGCAGGAAGACGGUCCUAUGGAUUGUAAACUGCUUUUAUUUGGGAAUAAACUCCGGUACGUGUACCGGCCUGAAGGUACCAAAUGAAUAAGCACCGGCUAACUCCGUGCCAGCAGCCGCGGUAAUACGGAGGGUGCAAGCGUUAUCCGGAAUCAUUGGGUUUAAAGGGUCCGCAGGCGGUCUUAUAAGUCAGUGGUGCAAGCCUGCAGCGCAACUGUGGAACUGCCAUUGAUACUGUAGGACUUGAAUUCGAUCGAAGUGGGCGGAAUGUGACAUGUAGCGGUGAAAUGCUUAGAUAUGUCACAGAACACCGAUAGCGAAGGCAGCUCACUAGGUCUGGAUUGACGCUCAGGGACGAAAGCGUGGGGAGCAAACAGGAUUAGAAACCCCGGUAGUCC